UGCCGUUCAGCGACCACAGUGAAGAUCCCAACUCUACAUACCACAGGCCUUCUAGAAGCAAGCUUUAUACAAAUUAAUGUACAUCAGUCUCAGAAGAUUUUCAAUUUUGAUUUGUUAUAUAUCGGCGCAGUAGAGCUGGGUUUUACUUAUUUCAGGCUGCGGUUCAGCGGCUUCAACAUCGUGCGUAAUAAUUGCACUGUCGGCCGGUACACCGCGCUCAGACAUGGCACCCAGCGCCCAAAUCCCAAACGAAUGAGACUGAUCAGACGGUCCUUCUUUCGCAUAUACAAGGAUGGCCUGAACACACUCAAGUACAGGGUGCUUGACAUCGUCUUCAAAAAGCUAUUUACCUACAUCAAGGUUGACUUGUUUCAGAAAGUACUCACCAAGCCAACCGAAUGAUUGCGAUUUUUACUGGUGCUGCGAGUGCAACUAUUAUACAAAAAUUUGUGAAUUGGUGCACAUUGCACAACACUUAUGCGGCAAUAACUUUUGUAACCCUUGUUACUUACUAUUAUUAUUAAACUAACAUUUUUAUCGAGAAUGUUAUACAUUGUCACCUAGUAACUAAGUGAAGAAUGGAUCGAUCGCCUCGCACAGACAUGACCGACAGCACUUUUCAGCAUAUGCAUAAUAAAAUAGUUUGUCUUACUAGUGUGCUAUAGCAGUAACAUAGUCUCUCGCACACAGUAAAAUGGAAAUACAAGAACCAAGACGGACCAAA